UUCCUUAUGUUGUUUUCUCUGUGCCAGGUACUGUUCUGGGGCUGGGAGAAAGCAGGGCUGGUAUUUGAACAGAGGUCUGGUCUAACGACCAUACUACUCUGCCUCUCUGUACAUGUAGUUCCAAUACAAAAGACGAAGCAAGAUGUGUCCUAAGAAAGUGGAGAUGAAGUGUGAGAAUUCAAGGGACCCAGUGAUGGCUUCCACCUGGGCAUACCAGAAAGUUGCGUCUGCCCUAUGAUGGAAGACACGGUCCAAGCAAACCUUGGAGGUGGUGCUGGGCUGGGCCCUGCCAUGUGGAGCAAGCCAGGGCUGGCCAGGUGUAUCUCCCAAGAGCACUGUCUGAUUAACCUUCUGCAGACAAUUCUCCAUCUCAGAGUCUGCUUUCAGGGAACCCAAACCAAG